AGUGAACGCUGGCGGUAGGCCUAACACAUGCAAGUCGAACGGCAGCACAGUAAGAGCUUGCUCUUACGGGUGGCGAGUGGCGGACGGGUGAGGAAUACAUCGGAAUCUACUUUUUCGUGGGGGAUAACGUAGGGAAACUUACGCUAAUACCGCAUACGACCUACGGGUGAAAGCAGGGGAUCUUCGGACCUUGCGCGAUUGAAUGAGCCGAUGUCGGAUUAGCUAGUUGGCGGGGUAAAGGCCCACCAAGGCGACGAUCCGUAACUGGUCUGAGAGGAUGAUCAGCCACACUGGAACUGAGACACGGUCCAGACUCCUACGGGAGGCAGCAGUGGGGAAUAUUGGACAAUGGGCGCAAGCCUGAUCCAGCCAUACCGCGUGGGUGAAGAAGGCCUUCGGGUUGUAAAGCCCUUUUGUUGGGAAAGAAAAGCAGCAGGUGAAUACCCCGCUGUUCUGACGGUACCCAAAGAAUAAGCACCGGCUAACUUCGUG
rnacentral:rRNA from 1 species